UCCAGUGGCUGGGGUCGGUUUCCUGGCCGGGAAUUGAACCCGGGCUGCAGCAGUGAGAGCGCUGUGGCGUAACCACUAGUCCUCCAGGGACCCAGUAAUAUUGAUUCCAGUAGCUAAUUAGAUAGGCAGCAAGUCAAAUUCUAGCUAAUGGUAAAUAUUGCAGACUUAAACAGCAAAAAAACGAAGUGGUUCUUUAAAACAAAAAUUAUCUUCUAACAGCUUUAGGUGUGUACGCAGCACCAAACUUGAUUAACAUCACUGCCAACAUUCCAUGGACAAAAACAAGUAAUGAAAUACAUGAAAAUAAGGGCAUUGCAAAUGCAGAAUCAUCGAUCAUGCUGUUUUGUAACUUUUUUGGCGUGGUUUGGAUUCCAAAACCACUAACAACUGGCAAGAACUGGAGAAAAAUGCAUCUGUGGUUUGAACUUCUGAAAAAUUCUUUGCUCAAAUUGAGACAUUAAGGCAAAGGGAAACUUCAGCCAGCAGCCGCACUAAUAAACAUAAAGAGUUUUUUUUUACAAUUAGCAUUGUGCAUCUCCUUAGUACAAAAUGAUCUACGAUCCAAGGUUCACAUUCAGCUUGGUUUACUGUCUGUGUGCAUGUUCUCCCUGCAUUUGUAUCGGUCUCCUCAGGGUUCCCUGGUUUCCUCCCUCCAAAAACAUACCUACAGUGUG